ACCCGCUGAACUUAAGCAUAUCAAUAAGCGGAGGAAAAGAAACCAACCGGGAUUGCCUCAGUAACGGCGAGUGAAGCGGCAAGAGCUCAAAUUUGAAAUCUGGCCCCCUCGGGGUCCGAGUUGUAAUUUGCAGAGGAUGCUUCGGGUGCGGCCCCCGUCUAAGUGCCCUGGAACGGGCCGUCAUAGAGGGUGAGAAUCCCGUCUGGGACGGGGUGUCCGCGUCCGUGUGAAGCUCCUUCGACGAGUCGAGUUGUUUGGGAAUGCAGCUCUAAAUGGGUGGUAAAUUUCAUCUAAAGCUAAAUACUGGCCGGAGACCGAUAGCGCACAAGUAGAGUGAUCGAAAGAUGAAAAGCACUUUGAAAAGAGAGUUAAAAAGCACGUGAAAUUGUUGAAAGGGAAGCGCUUGCGACCAGACUCGCCCGCGGGGUUCAGCCGGCAUUCGUGCCGGUGUACUUCCCCGCGGGCGGGCCAGCGUCGGUUUGGGCGGCCGGUCAAAGGCCCCCGGAAUGUAGUGCCCCUACGGGGGCACCUUAUAGCCGGGGGUGCAAUGCGGCCAGCCUGGACCGAGGAACGCGCUUCGGCACGGACGCUGGCAUAAUGGUUGCAAACGACCCGUCUUGAAACACGG
rnacentral:rRNA from 1 species